UCCUAGCCGUAAACGAUGCACACUAGUUGUAGGAUGUUUUAUAUGUCUUGUGACGAAGCUAACGCAUUAAGUGUGCCGCCUGGGGAGUAUGCCCGCAAGGGUGAAACUCAAAGGAAUUGACGGGGGUCCGCACAAGUGGUGGAGCAUGUGGUUUAAUUCGAUGAUACGCGAAAAACCUUACCUGGGCUUAAAUGUAAGUAGAUAAUUGCAGAGAUGUGGUGUUCCUUCGGGAC
rnacentral:rRNA from 1 species